rnacentral:snRNA from 1 species
UUGGAGUGGGACUAUCCUAGCGAACUCACCUCUUGCCUUUUACCAGAGAUGACCGUGGGACGGCCCAAGAGACUCCACUCAAUAAUCUUUGGCACCCAACUUGAAUCCGUUGGAU